CGUACUAUUAUAUUUUAAAAUUGGGAACUUUUUACAAUGAGUCUUGUCAUGUGGAGCGAAAAUUGCCUAUAAAUUUCAAGAUUGUUUAAAAUGUCUUUAAACCUGAGUUAUUUGUUCCAGCUUCUUGUAUUUAUAUAUUUAUUUGCUGAGUUACGCAAAAGAACUGUUACUAAAGUGAAAGUUACUAAAGUGAAAUUUAAUUUAGCAUUGUUUAAAAGAAACAAUGGCUAUUCAUGUACAACAUCACUGUUGAUGCGUGCAGAUUCUUAAAAAAUCGGAAAUCCAAUCCUGUGGUAAACUAUUGAUUCGAGUUUGGUCAAGGCUAUUCAAACAUAAAUGGCACUUGUCCGAUCUACAACGAUAUAAUAAUCGAGAAACUUCCCAUUGAAUUCAUAAACAAUCGGGUCACAAAAUUACUGCCCUUCUCUGAAGGCGAUUAUCUGUUGGGAACAAACUGGAUUGCUUAUGAUGUUUAUAAAGCCGUGGCUAAAUUUUACGGCACUCUGUUUUGAAUUAACUGUCUUAAUUUGGAAUUCGAUAUAAUUUUUGUAUAUUCAACAGUUGGGGAGAAGGCGAUAAGGCAAUGGAAUAAAAUAAAGGAUUUAAUUUCCCUGGGUUGUGCGAAAAUAAAUCAAUAUUUAACGUUUCCCUUUUAAAUUUUUAAGCCGCUUUUCGCCUGGGCUUAAUUACAAGUUCGGC